UUACAUUAGAUGUUUAGCAUAAUAAUUUUUGGUGUUAUUUGAAUCAGUGAGUCUGUUAAUGUGAA
rnacentral:tRNA from 1 species